rnacentral:ncRNA from 1 species
AUAAUUUAAUGUUAUGAUCUUGAUGGAAGUUGGCCUUAGUAAUUGAUGGUGUCGAGUGAAAGAGUAGUUGCUCAAUGGAAAAAGUUACUCUAGGGAUAACAGGUUGAUCUCUCCAAAAGCUCACAUCGGCCGGAAGGUUGGACACCUCGACGCACCACAUAGGAUUAUAGUAUGUUUUAAAGUUUGGCAGUUCACCCAUUAAAGCAGUAUGUGAGUAGGUUUAGAACGUCUUUAAAUAGUUCGAUCCAUAUUUGAUGCGGAUGUUAAAAUAUUGAGAGGAUCUUUUUCUAGUAUGAGAGGACCGAGAAUGAUGCACCUUUAAGGUACCGGUUAUUAUGUCCACGGUAAACGUUGUGUAACCAAUUGUAGAGAAGAUAACUGCUGAAAGCAUCUAAGUAGUAAGCCCACCCCAAUAUGAGUUCUCCUCUAUUCC